rnacentral:tRNA from 1 species
UGGCUCAGGGGCAGAGCGUCUGUCUAGUAAACAGAAGGUCGCUGGUUCGAUUCCAUC